rnacentral:lncRNA from 1 species
AAAGCAUCUACCACUAUUCCAAAUAGUCGUAUGGCUGGAAUGUAGGAGGUGAAUCAUUCCUGAAGGUACGUGAGUUUAUCUUUAAGCUCUCCUUCUCUCUCAGCUCUCCCUCUUUGUCUCUCCCUCUCUCCAGCAACCCAUUUCCCCUCCUCCUUAGCCCACUCCCUCAAAACCCAGAUCCCAACCCAACCCCCAUCUCCCAACCUGCAAAACCCAAAACCCACCCUCAACCCCAUCCCCUCAAGCUCUCCUCAUCCGCUGCCGCCGCAAUAGCAGCGGCACCAUUGGCACCAUAAUGAAUGCCACCGCAACCGCCAUCUACGCCACGACGUUGGUAGACGUGGCCAAAUCCAACGCCGUCAGCUUCUGCACCUACUUCACUAUCUACACCAGGUGCUGCGACUCCAGCUUCACCACCGAGCUCAUGAUGGCCAGCUCUGUUGUGAUUCUAUUUCUCCGAUUUUGCUAUAGUUCUUUUUAGAUGUUCACGUCUCGAAAGCUUUUGAAAAAUUAUCCUUUUGUUUGUUGAAUUGAUGAACUUGUGAACUGCAUUUUGUUGGUGUUUGUGAUUAGAUCAGGAUUUUCGUAUGGGUUUUAGGUGUUUCGUUUCUCUGAUCAUAUUUGGG